GACGAACGCUGGCGGCGUGCUUAACACAUGCAAGUCGAACGAGAUCCCAUGUGUAGCAAUACACAGGAAGAUCUAGUGGCGAACGGGUGAGGAACACGUGAGAAACGUACCCCAGACUUUGGGAUAACAGUCCGAAAGGACUGCUAAUACCAAAUAACGUCGGAAGUCCGCAUGGACAUCUGACGAAAGGGAUUCCGGUUUGGGAGCGUCUCGCGGACCUAUCAGCUAGUUGGAGGGGUAACGGCCCACCAAGGCAACGACGGGUAGCUGGUCUGAGAGGAUGGUCAGCCACACUGGGACUGAGACACGGCCCAGACUCCUACGGGAGGCAGCAGUGGGGAAUCUUGCGCAAUGGGCGAAAGCCUGACGCAGCAACGCCGCGUGCGGGAAGAAGGCUUUCGGGCUGUAAACCGCUUUCAGUAGGAACGAAACUGACGGUACCUACAGAAGAAGGAGCGGCCAACUAUGU
rnacentral:rRNA from 1 species